rnacentral:rRNA from 1 species
AGAGUUUGAUCCUGGCUCAGGACGAACGUUGGCGGCGUGCUUAACACAUGCAAGUCGAGCGGUUGAGAGGUGGGAGGUGAGAGGUUAGAUGUGAGAGUAAGGAAAGAAUUUGGCUUUAGCCAAAUUCUAAUUAAAGUUCUCACAUCCGACAUCUCACAUCUCACUUCUCAAUAGCGGCGGACGGGUGAGUAACGCGUGGAUAAUCUGCCUGUAAGACAGGGAUAACGCCGGGAAACCGGUGCUAAUACCCGAUAACCUCUUUGGACCGCAUGGUUUCUCUUUACAAUGCUACCACUUACAGAUGAAUCCGCGUCCCAUUAGCCAGUUGGUGGGGUAAUGGCCUACCAAAGCGACGAUGGGUAGCCGGCCUGAGAGGGUGACCGGCCACACUGGAACUGAGAUACGGUCCAGACUCCUACGGGAGGCAGCAGUGGGGAAUCUUCCGCAAUGGGCGAAAGCCUGACGGAGCAACGCCGCGUGAGCGAAGAAGGUCUUCGGAUUGUAAAGCUCUGUGAUAUUGGACGAACAGUUUUCCUGUGAAUAAUGGGAAGAAACGGCUAACUACGUGCCAGCAGCCGCGGUAAUACGUAGGUGGCAAACGUUGUCCGGAAUUACUGGGCGUAAAGGGCGAGUAGGUGGUUUAUUAAGUCAGAAGUGAAAACUCCAGGCUCAACCCUGAGAGUGCAUCGGAAACUGGAGAUCUUGAGGACAGGAGAGGAAAGUGGAAUUCCACGUGUAGCGGUGAAAUGCGUAGAUAUGUGGAGGAACACCAGUGGCGAAGGCGACUUUCUGGACUGUAACUGACGCUGAGGCGCGAAAGCGUGGGGAGCAAACAGGAUUAGAUACCCUGGUAGUCCACGCUGUAAACGAUGAGUGCUAGGUGUAGAGGGUAUCGACCCCUUCUGUGCCGCAGUUAACACAAUAAGCACUCCGCCUGGGGAGUACGGCCGCAAGGUUGAAACUCAAAGGAAUUGACGGGGGCCCGCACAAGCGGUGGAGCAUGUGGUUUAAUUCGACGCAACGCGAAGAACCUUACCAGGGCUUGACAUCCUCAGAAUCUUAAGGAAACUUAGUCUUUCGCCUUCGGGUGAACACGGAGACAGGUGGUGCAUGGUUGUCGUCAGCUCGUGUCGUGAGAUGUUGGGUUAAGUCCCGCAACGAGCGCAACCCUUAUUGCUAGUUACCAUCAUUAAGUUGGGGACUCUAGCGAGACUGCCAGUGAUAAACUGGAGGAAGGUGGGGAUGACGUCAAAUCAUCAUGCCCCUUAUGACCUGGGCUACAAACGUGAUACAAUGGCUGAAACAAAGGGCAGCGAAGCAGUGAUGUGAAGCGAAACCCAAAAAAGCAGUCUCAGUUCGGAUUGAAGUCUGCAACUCGACUUCAUGAAGUCGGAAUCGCUAGUAAUCGCGAAUCAGAACGUCGCGGUGAAUACGUUCUCGGGGUUUGUACACACCGCCCGUCAAACCACGAAAGUUUAUAAUACCCAAAGCCGGUGGCCUAACCGCAAGGAGGGAGCCGUCUAAGGUAGGAUCAAUGAUUGGGGUUAAGUCGUAACAAGGUAACC